CCUCGUCAGGACCCGGCUCUGCCCUCAGAGUCAGUCUGGAUGCAGGCGUGAUUCAUCUUGCACAGAUGAGGGGGGAUAAAAGGAAAAGAAUAGUCAGGACAAAUGUGUUUUCAAUGGUGCUUAGCAGCAGGAGGCCACUGGGACUUGAGAGCUGUGUUACUGGAGUGUGACAUCAUAAUACGCUGAAUACCAGAGUCUUACCCUCUUGGAGUUUAUGAGCCAAUUUCUCCCAAGACUGUGAGCUUCUUGUGCUUCCAGAGGACUUGUCGGGGGCCAACCCGCCCAGAGUGACAGCGACUCUGCGUCUGGAAGCCCCACUGGGUUGUGAAAUGAACAAGGCCCUCUGUGCCCCUGAUCCAGCCGGUCAAGCCCCGGGGCUCCAGGAAGGAACAUCUCCCAUCUCCUACUGAAGAGCAGACAUAUAUCCUGCCUUUAGGACAAGACUACAAUUGCAAAUCCUAGAAUAUAAAUUACACUUUCAUCUUU